AGCGAACGCUGGCGGCAGGCCUAAUACAUGUAAGUCGAGCGCACCUUCGGGUGAGCGGCGGACGGGUGAGUAACGCGUGGGAACGUGCCCUUUGGUACGGGAUAACUCAGGGAAACUUGAGCUAAUACCGUAUGUGCCCUUCGGGGGAAAGAUUUAUCGCCAUUGGAGCGGCCCGCGUUGGAUUAGCUAGUUGGUGGGGUAAAGGCCUACCAAGGCUACGAUCCAUAGCUGGUCUGAGAGGAUGAUCAGCCACACUGGGACUGAGACACGGCCCAGACUCCUACGGGAGGCAGCAGUAGGGAAUCUUGCGCAAUGGGCGAAAGCCUGACGCAGCCAUGCCGCGUGAAUGAUGAAGGUCUUAGGAUUGUAAAAUUCUUUCACCGGGGAAGAUAAUGACGGUACCCGGAGAAGAAGCCCCGGCUAACUUCGUGCCAGCAGCCGCCGUAA
rnacentral:rRNA from 1 species